rnacentral:rRNA from 1 species
GAGUUUGAUUCUGGCUCAGAACGAACGCUGGCGGCGCGUCUUAAGCAUGCAAGUCGAACGGUAAGGGAGAGCUUGCUCUCCCCUAGAGUGGCGGACUGGUGAGUAACGCGUGGGUGACCUGCCCUGAAGAUGGGGAUAGCUAGUAGAAAUAUUAGAUAAUACCGAAUGUGCUCAUUAACAUAAGGGUUGAUGAGGAAAGGAGCUACGGCUCCGCUUCAGGAUGGGCCCGCGUCCCAUUAGCUGGUUGGUGAGGUAAAGGCCCACCAAGGCAACGAUGGGUAUCCGGCCUGAGAGGGUGAACGGACACAUUGGGACUGAGAUACGGCCCAAACUCCUACGGGAGGCAGCAGCUAAGAAUCUUCCGCAAUGGACGAAAGUCUGACGGAGCGACGCCGUGUGAAUGAAGAAGGCCGAAAGGUUGUAAAAUUCUUUUGCAGAUGAAGAAUAAACACAGGAGGGAAUGCCUGUGAGAUGACGG